GGCUCAGGAUGAACGCUGGCGGCGUGCCUAAUACAUGCAAGUCGAGCGAACGGAUGAGAAGCUUGCUUCUCUGAUGUUAGCGGCGGACGGGUGAGUAACACGUGGGUAACCUACCUAUAAGACUGGGAUAACUCCGGGAAACCGGGGCUAAUACCGGAUAAUAUAUUGAACCGCAUGGUUCAAUGUCGAAAGACGGUUUCGGCUGUCACUUAUAGAUGGACCCGCGCCGUAUUAGCUAGUUGGUAAGGUAACGGCUUACCAAGGCAACGAUACGUAGCCGACCUGAGAGGGUGAUCGGCCACACUGGAACUGAGACACGGUCCAGACUCCUACGGGAGGCAGCAGUAGGGAAUCUUCCGCAAUGGGCGAAAGCCUGACGGAGCAACGCCGCGUGAGCGAUGAAGGUCUUAGGAUCGUAAAACUCUGUUGUUAGGGAAGAACAAAUUUGUUAGUAACUGAACAAGUCUUGACGGUACCUAACCAGAAAGCCACGGCUAACUACGUG
rnacentral:rRNA from 1 species